rnacentral:lncRNA from 1 species
CCUGAAUGGUAAAAUACAUACAUAAGGAGCACCGGAUUUUAAGUGUGCCUUAUAGUGCGAAAAAUAUGGUACUUAAUAUUACUUUAAUGAUGUAGUUUGCCCUAAAACUUGCAGAGUGUUACUUGAACUUAUCUUGUCAAGUGACACAUAAUGUGUAUAAUGUUACAUGUACUGCGUCGAUUUCUUAAAAUCAUUUGCUGGCAAUCACUAUAGGGCACCUCAGCUCUAUUUUGUUUUUAUUUCUUUUUUUUUAGACAGAGCUUUGUGCAAGAUAUAUUUUAUAUUACAAAUUAUGCAUGUCUUAAAAUUGUAUUUGUUUAUAAUAUGUAAAUGUAUGUUAUGUAAUAUAUGUGCACUUGUUAAAAUCCAACAUUACAGCAACAAUCACAAAGCUGUCCACUGACUCCAAGCACCAGAGAUGAUAUCUAUGCAGUUGCAGCAUUCUUCAUAAAAGAGACAGCGUUACCAGUCUGAAAAUGAGACACCUAAGCCAAGUUGGGGAUCCAGUCAACAGAGAAUACUCAAACUGAAAGUGGUGCAGUAGUCUGGACAAUGAUUCAUCAUACCCAGAAUGUGCAGUAUUCACCAAAGUUUCAGUAUCUCACACCAAGAUAUCAUCCAUGCAGUUGCAGCAUUCUUCAUAUCAGAGACAUCUUUGCCAGUCUGAAAAUGAGACAACUAAGCCAAGUCAACAGAAGAUGCUUAAACUGGAAGUGGUGCAGUAGUGUGCGUGACGAUUCAUCAUACCCAGAGUGUGCUGUAUUCCCAAAAGCCUCAGUAUCUCACACUAAGAUAUCAACUAUACAGUUGCAGCAUUCUUCAUAUAAGGAAGGUGAAAUACAUAGGCAAUUUUCUGCAUAGAAAUUGUUUUCUCAUGACAUUUAAUAUUGCUCACACAUGUCUUCUUGUCCCUUCUCAUUCGCAGAGACAACAUUGCCAGUGUGUGAAUUAGACAACUAAGCCAAGUUGAGAAUCCAGUCAAGCUUAAACUGAAAUUAGUGCAGUAGUCUGGGUGAGGAUUCAUCAUACCCAGAGUGUGUUGUAUUCCCCUAAAUCUCUCACAUCAAGAUAUCAUUCAUGCAGCAUUCCUCAUAUAAGGUAACUUUAAAUACACAGACAAUUCUCUACAUAGCUGAUCUUUUCUCAUGACAAUUUUUAUUUCUCACACAUUUCUUCUUGUUCUUUCUCUUUGCCAGUCUGUGAAUUAGACAACUAAGCCAGGCUGAUGCUACAAUCAACAACAGAUGUCUAAACUGGAACAGGGGCUCUCCUGUGGGCAAUGACUCAUUAUAGCCAAAAUGAACUGUAUUCGCAGAGGCUAACUCACACUACAUCGACCUAUGCAUGGACAAGUGUUCAACUUACUUCAUUUUAAUUUCCUCAUGGAUGCAUCCUUUGCACUUGGACUAUUGGACUAUUACUCUAUGACAACUCCCAACUCUACUACUAUACUCAAGCUGGCAUGUUUACAAUACAUCUGUUUUUAUGUACACUAUAUAAUAAUGUUUAAUCAUACCUGUUAAUGUUUUUAUGAAUUUCAUUUUGCUACUGUCCAAACAAAACCACAUGUCUCCAAAAUAGCUUACAGAAAAAAAGGAAAUACAAUCCCAAUGUGAAACAAAAUGUAGUCAAGUUGUGUCAUAUUUUACACAAUUAACAUAGAUUGGUAUUUGUCUAACCAUAAAGAAAUAUGUAUAUAAUAUAAACAGAAGCAGUGGAGAAAAAUAAUCACAGCAAGGGAAAAAUGUUACUAUGUAGGCAGAUGUUUUUGUGUGGACAGCAGUAAUAUUCAUGUAUAUAUAUCAUGCACAAAGCUAUAUUAUUUAUUAUUAAUACCACAAGUUGUUUUUUUAUUUAUUUA